UCAGGGACCCUGAAUGUCCUCUCCGUGUGUACUAUGGCUGGAGAAUGUAGCCUGGAGGACCUAGAGGAACCCAAAAGCCCAAAAUAAGAGUCUGAGUCCUUGAACGACUGUGGAACACAGGAAUGACUCUCACCAAAGCCCACAUUGGACUAUGAUAUGAGGAAAAAAAAAAAAGAGAGAGAGAGAGAGAAAAGGAAGAUGUGAAGAAGAGAACUCUACAAAGAAGGAACUAUGGAAGAAGCACAGGACAUUGCAAAACAGAAAUGAAAGCCUAAAGCUCCAUGAGACAUAGAGACGUGCCAGGUGGCAGUCAGAGGCUCUUACAAGGCAGAUGGAGGUCAACUGACAGCAAGUUAAGUCUGCAGUAAAUGCUCCAAUUAAAAUAAUAGUAAGUCAAGCAUCUGAAUUUGUUGUGAAUUUGACCUAGAAAUUAAUUUUGAGAAGAAAGAAGUCUUGCUAUUCCAAUCGCCUGCAAGUGGAGUCAUAGUGGCACUUGGCCUUGCUAAUCACUGAUGUGUAUUCCCUGGUGGGACCCUAAGAGAUAGGACUGAACAUGUUACCCUAU